rnacentral:rRNA from 1 species
UACGUAGGGGGCAAGCGUUGUCCGGAUUUAUUGGGCGUAAAGAGCGUGUAGGCGGCCUGACAGGUCUGCUGUGAAAACUCGAGGCUCAACCUCGAGCUGUCGGUGGAAACCGUGUGGCUAGAGUCCGGAAGAGGAGAGUGGAAUUCCCGGUGUAGCGGUGAAAUGCGCAGAUAUCGGGAAGAACACCCGUGGCGAAGGCGGCUCUCUGGGACGGUACUGACGCUGAGACGCGAAAGCGUGGGGAGCAAACAGG